GCCAGGUGUGGUGGCGGGCGCCUGUAAUCCCAGCUACUUGGGAGGCUGAGGUGGGCGAAUUGCUUGAACCCAGGAGGCGGAGAUUGCAGUGAGCCAACAUUGUGCCACUGCACUCCAGCCUGGGCAACAGAGCAAGACUCUAUCUCAA
ensembl:misc_RNA Metazoa_SRP Metazoan signal recognition particle RNA